CCCCGUUGGAACAUCCGUCGACUUUCUCCACGGUCUUUGGAAUUGUGUGAAUAGUGCCGUUCGCAACAGAGCCAUUCACUCGAGAGUCUAAGGUUCUAAAUGGUGGCUGAAAAAUUCCGACAGCUCGGUCAUUAUCCUCACCACCUCGUCCAUAGACGGUCUUUCUUCAGGUGCUUUCUGCCAACAUCUGUCGUGAGAGUUAGCAAUGUUGAGCGGAGAUGGUAUAAAGAGACGUUGUUGUUGCACUAAGCUUGCCUUACCUGUGUAUCAAUGGUUUUGGCUUCAUAUUAUGAAGAUACGCA